CGCCGCUCUCUUUUGCCAAGUGCAUUCCAAACGGCUACGGCACGCGCGUGCCCUGCUCACUUUUAAAGUCCCCACUUUAAGGGCUUUGCCCUUCGGAGGGAGUAGGGCACGAUGAUCACUUCCAUUUGGAAUUUGCCCCGUGAACCGUUCGGUACGAAUAUGCGUACCGUUGCACCCCUAGUAGAGACACUGCUGCCAUGAGAAACGCACAGACCCAGAGCUUCGGCAUGUCUGCCCCUGCCACCAUCCCUCUGGAUAAAGAAGGUGGCGAGUCUCAUCAUCUGAUUACAUGUGACCAUGUCAUAUGCCAGUAUGGUAGAUGUGUGCUGGUGAACGGAGAGUCCAGCUGUGAAUGUAAUCUGGGAUACACGGGAGAUACCUGUAACGAAACCAUCAAUGAGGCUCUGUCUGUACCACUCACCCUCGGCGUCCUGGUGUUCAUCAUCGGCAUUAUCAUCCUGAUCUUUGGGCUGGCAUUUUUCCGACAAAGCCAAAAGGCAAAGAAGAGAAAAAAGGCAGCUGAAGAAUCUUUGAUAAGAAAUGGAGAGCAUCUUUAACAUGUCAUACUGCAGCAUGCCAUAAAACAGUACAAUCAACGCAUAAAGCACUUAUACGUCCAAUAAAAUCAACUUUUCAACAUGACACUUAACUCGCACUUAAAGGUGCAUGAAUAUAUUCAUAUGUUAUUGGUGUAUAUUUGUAGGUAUUAAAGUAGCUCUGCAUGCAGCAUUCAACAUUUAAACGAAAACUAUUGGAUAUGAAACACAUGAAGUUUGCAGCACUUUUAGAUGAUUUCAAAAUGGUUUGAGUUGGUGUUCCUGCAGGGGGGCAUGUAUAUCAUAUUAAACAUGCAUUGACUAGUUUCUGAAACAUGCCAGGUAUUUCAGUGCUGUUUUUCUGCUGUUAUAUUUAGCUCAGGCCUGACUGGUGAGUUUCAUUGACUGAAAGCUGUUUAGUUUCAUGGACUGGUGAGCCACAGAUGAGUAUCUCUUUCAAACAUUUAUGUAAAACAGUUACAGCUCUGCGUUGAACCCUUCUUGUACAGUAUUUUAUAAUAAAGAUUUUUGUUGUUUAUAUAAUUA